rnacentral:rRNA from 1 species
UACGUAGGGGGCAAGCGUUGUCCGGAUUUACUGGGCGUAAAGAGCGUGUAGGCGGCCACGCAGGUCCGUUGUGAAAACUGGAGGCUCAACCUCCAGCUGUCGACGGAAACCGUAUGGCUAGAGUCCGGAAGAGGAGAGUGGAAUUCCUGGUGUAGCGGUGAAAUGCGCAGAUAUCGGGAAGAACACCCGUGGCGAAGGCGGUUCUCUGGGACGGUACUGACGCUGAGACGCGAAAGCGUGGGGAGCGAACAGG